ACGCUAAGAGGUGGGAAAGGUACCCCACGCGCCCUAGCGGUUAACUAGCGGUUAACUAGCGGUUAAAAAGAGAUGCGGGACACGCCGACCCGCCUUAGCGU
rnacentral:ncRNA from 1 species